rnacentral:rRNA from 1 species
GACGAACGCUGGCGGCGUGCCUAAUACAUGCAAGUAGAACGCUGAAGCGAGGAGCUUACUCUUCUUGGAUGAGUUGCGAACGGGUGAGUAACGCGUAGGUAACCUGCCUUGUAGCGGGGGAUAACUAUUGGAAACGAUAGCUAAUACCGCAUAACAAUGGAUGACACAUGUCAUUUAUUUGAAAGGGGCAAUUGCUCCACUACAGGAUGGACCUGCGUUGUAUUAGCUAGUAGGUGAGGUAAUGGCUCACCUAGGCGACGAUACAUAGCCGACCUGAGAGGGUGAUCGGCCACACUGGGACUGAGACACGGCCCAGACUCCUACGGGAGGCAGCAGUAGGGAAUCUUCGGCAAUGGGGGCAACCCUGACCGAGCAACGCCGCGUGAGUGAAGAAGGUUUUCGGAUCGUAAAGCUCUGUUGUAAGUCAAGAACGGGUGUGAGAGUGGAAAGUUCACACUGUGACGGUAGCUUACCAGAAAGGGACGGCUAACUACGUG